GCCUGCGGAGGGAUCAUUACACAAAU
rnacentral:rRNA from 1 species